rnacentral:rRNA from 1 species
AGAGUUUGAUCCUGGCUCAGGAUGAACGCUAGCUACAGGCUUAACACAUGCAAGUCGAGGGGCAGCAUGGUCUUAGCUUGCUAAGGCCGAUGGCGACCGGCGCACGGGUGAGUAACACGUAUCCAACCUGCCGUCUACUCUUGGACAGCCUUCUGAAAGGAAGAUUAAUACAAGAUGGCAUCAUGAGUCCGCAUGUUCACAUGAUUAAAGGUAUUCCGGUAGACGAUGGGGAUGCGUUCCAUUAGAUAGUAGGCGGGGUAACGGCCCACCUAGUCAACGAUGGAUAGGGGUUCUGAGAGGAAGGUCCCCCACAUUGGAACUGAGACACGGUCCAAACUCCUACGGGAGGCAGCAGUGAGGAAUAUUGGUCAAUGGGCGAUGGCCUGAACCAGCCAAGUAGCGUGAAGGAUGACUGCCCUAUGGGUUGUAAACUUCUUUUAUAAAGGAAUAAAGUCGGGUAUGGAUACCCGUUUGCAUGUACUUUAUGAAUAAGGAUCGGCUAACUCCGUGCCAGCAGCCGCGGUAAUACGGAGGAUCCGAGCGUUAUCCGGAUUUAUUGGGUUUAAAGGGAGCGUAGAUGGAUGUUUAAGUCAGUUGUGAAAGUUUGCGGCUCAACCGUAAAAUUGCAGUUGAUACUGGAUAUCUUGAGUGCAGUUGAGGCAGGCGGAAUUCGUGGUGUAGCGGUGAAAUGCUUAGAUAUCACGAAGAACUCCGAUUGCGAAGGCAGCCUGCUAAGCUGCAACUGACAUUGAGGCUCGAAAGUGUGGGUAUCAAACAGGAUUAGAUACCCUGGUAGUCCACACGGUAAACGAUGAAUACUCGCUGUUUGCGAUAUACGGCAAGCGGCCAAGCGAAAGCGUUAAGUAUUCCACCUGGGGAGUACGCCGGCAACGGUGAAACUCAAAGGAAUUGACGGGGGCCCGCACAAGCGGAGGAACAUGUGGUUUAA